GUAAAAGUUCUUCUGCCUUCCCUCCUCUAACUCCCUGCUCUGGCAAUCUACCGAUGCAGUGGUGGCUAUGGCAACGCUGCAGUGCAUUCCCGAGACAGAGCAUGCGGAGAGAGGUCAGGGGAAUGCAGAGGAACCCCCCUCCAUGGGGUGGUGUUAGAAAAACCACAGGAUAGUGAGGGGCCUGACAAAUAUUUAAACUGAAGAGGACAGCAAAAUUGCCGGAUUAAAUCCCCUCUAUGCUGAGCUAUGCACAGAUGGAGGAGGACACAAGAAGUAAACAUUUGAAGGUUUUCACUUUUUGU